GCUGUGAUUAUGUGUGUUUGAUGGAGGAUGCAUUGCCCAUGAAGGCAGAUGCAGUGAUUGCAGUGCCACUUCAGGUGGAUCCAAUGUGCCUGCAGUGGUUGCAGUUCCUGUUGCAUUGUCCCUGAACAUGGAUGCAGUGCCCAUGCAAUGGCUGCAAGUCACUGUAGGUAGAUACAGUACGUUGUGCUGGAGGAAGCAGUGGCCAUGAAGGUGGAUGCAGUGAUCCUGGGGUGGUUGCAGUGCCCCCUGCAGGGUACAUGAAUGAGGAUGCCAUGCCCUUGCAGUGGAUUCAGUGUCCCACAUGGUGGAUGCAGUAUGUUAUGAUGGAUAAUGCAUUGCCCAUGAAGGUGCAUGCAGUGUUCCUGCACUGUUUGUCAUGCCCCAUUCUGUUUCCAUGAUUGUGGAUGCAGUGCCCGUGCAGUGAAUACAGUGUCCAACAAGGCAGAUGCACUAUGUUUUAAUGGAGGAUGCAUUGCCCAUGAAGAUGCAUGCAGUGUUAAUGCACUGGUUGUCAUGCCACAUUUUGUGUCCCUGAUUGUGGAUGCAGUGCCCAUGAAUGUGGAUGCGGUGAUCCUGCAGUUGUUGCAGUGUCCCCUUCAGGUUCCCUGAAUCUGGAUGCAGUGCCCAUGAAUGUGGAUGCAGUGAUCCUGAAGUGGUUGCAGUGCGUAUGCAGUGCCACUUCAGCUGGAUGCAGUGUCCCUGCAGUCGCUGCAGUGAAAACUGCACUGUCCCUAUAUUCAGAUGCCAUGCUCAUGCAGUGAUGAAGUAUGUUGUGAUGGAGGAUGCAGUGCCCAUGAAGGCAGAUGCAGAGAUCCUGCAGGCAUUGCACUGCACCUGUAGUGCCACAUCAGCUGGAUCCAGGGUCCCUGCAGUGGUUGCAGUGCCUGUUGCCCUGUGCAUGAACGUGGGUGCAGGUCCCAUGCUAUGGCUGCAGUGUCACUGAAGGUAGAUGCAGUAUGUUGUGACAGAGGAUGCAGUGCCCGUGAAGAUUCAUGCAGUCAUCCUGCAGUGGUUGAAGUGCCCCCUGCAGGGUCCCUGAAUGAGAAUGCCAUGUCCUUGCAGUGGAUUCAG
rnacentral:lncRNA from 1 species